rnacentral:rRNA from 1 species
AGCUUGCUAGGAUGGAUUAGUGGCGCACGGGUGAGUAAUAUAUAGUUAAUCUGCCCUACACAGAGGAACAACAGUUGGAAACGGCUGCUAAUACCUCAUACUCCUAUUUGACAUAAGUUAAAUAGGGAAAGUCUUUUCGGUGUAGGAUGAGACUAUAUCGUAUCAGCUAGUUGGUAAGGUAAUGGCUUACCAAGGCUAUGACGCGUAACUGGUCUGAGAGGAUGAUCAGUCACAUUGGAACUGAGACACGGUCCAAACUCCUACGGGAGGCAGCAGUAAGGAAUAUUGCGCAAUGGGGGAAACCCUGACGCAGCAACGCCGCGUGGAGGAUGACACUUUUCGGAGCGUAAACUCCUUUUAUCAGGAAAGAAUAAUGACGGUACCUGAUGAAUAAGCACCGGCUAACUCCGUGCCAGCAGCCGCGGUAAUACGGGGGGUGCAAGCGUUACUCGGAAUCACUGGGCGUAAAGGACGCGUAGGCGGAUUAUCAAGUCUUUUGUGAAAUCUAGUGGCUUAACCACUAAACUGCUUAGGAAACUGAUAGUCUAGAGUAGGGGAGAGGUAGAUGGAAUUCUUGGUGUAGGGGUAAAAUCCGUAGAGAUCAAGAAGAA